GAAAAAUAAUCUAUUGGUGCACAGAAAUACUGGAGCUCUUCCAUAAGAUCCAAGGUCCUCUGUGGCUCUAACCAGGGAAGAAGGGAUAAAAGGAGACAGCAGACUUCUAUGACUAUGACCCUGAUGAGCAUGCUGCCCUCUGCAACACUGGCCUUGGUCCCUGAUCCCCACCUGGAAAGACUCUGCACUCUUGAAUUCCUCAUGGGGAGCUCUUCACCCACCUUCUCCGGUGCCAUAGAUUCCUUGCCAUCAACUCUCGUCUCUCAAAGAUUGGCUUCCCAGUAGUGAGCAGCCAGACUUGAGUCAGAAAGAAAGAAAGAGUAAGAAGGUAAAGAUUUUUUCCAAGUCUGAUAACCUAGGCGAGCCUGACCAGAACCUGAGAGCAAUGUACCCUAAUAUUUUGGAGUGUAUCCCCAAGUAUCCAGCUGCCUGUUACAAAUAAGUUCAGGGUUGCAAAGAGACCACCACUUCAAGUGAAGCGUCUCUACAAGCCAGCACUUCAUUCUUGCUCAAGAGGGUGUGCCCGGAAGAGGAAACACAUUAACCGGAAGUGCAUUUUGUUUUUAUUUCGUGGUUUUCUCCUAUUGGCUGGGGUCUCACCUUAUACUCUUUCACAACUGUCUAGAUUUAAAAGUCAGCACAACAAAAAAAUGAAGAAAAUGGGGAAGUUCGGAGAAUGUAGUGUGAGGGCCCAGACUUAACCUUACAGGCUCCAUCUUAAGGAAGGGCCACCAUCUCAGACCACCUGCUGUACUCAGUUCCAGGAGGGACCUCAGGAAUGUGCCAUGACAACUUGAACAGAUACAGGGCAGUAUCCUCCUGCAGACAUCCUGUCUGUGGUUUAUGGCCCUUGAAGAUCUCUAGAUAAUCCUGCUGAGCAGCCCAGAUAAUCCUGUUCAGCAGGUUUUGGUUCACCGCCAAAAGUCUAAACCAACGGUUUCAAA